GCUUGCUACAUUACCUAGCGGCGGACGGGUGAGUAAUGCUUAGGAAUCUGCCUAUUAGUGGGGGACAACAUUCCGAAAGGAAUGCUAAUACCGCAUACGCCCUACGGGGGAAAGCAGGGGAUCUUCGGACCUUGCGCUAAUAGAUGAGCCUAAGUCAGAUUAGCUAGUUGGUGGGGUAAAGGCCUACCAAGGCGACGAUCUGUAGCGGGUCUGAGAGGAUGAUCCGCCACACUGGGACUGAGACACGGCCCAGACUCCUACGGGAGGCAGCAGUGGGGAAUAUUGGACAAUGGGCGAAAGCCUGAUCCAGCCAUGCCGCGUGUGUGAAGAAGGCCUUUUGGUUGUAAAGCACUUUAAGCGAGGAGGAGGCUACCGAGAUUAAUACUCUUGGAUAGUGGACGUUACUCGCAGAAUAAGCACCGGCUAACUCUGUGCCAGCAGCCGCGGUAAUACAGAGGGUGCGAGCGUUAAUCGGAUUUACUGGGCGUAAAGCGUGCGUAGGCGGCUUUUUAAGUCGGAUGUGAAAUCCCUGAGCUUAACUUAGGAAUUGCAUUCGAUACUGGGAAGCUAGAGUAUGGGAGAGGAUGGUAGAAUUCCAGGUGUAGCGGUGAAAUGCGUAGAGAUCUGGAGGAAUACCGAUGGCGAAGGCAGCCAUCUGGCCUAAUACUGACGCUGAGGUACGAAAGCAUGGGGAGCAAACAGGAUUAGAUACCCUGGUAGUCCAUGCCGUAAACGAUGUCUACUAGCCGUUGGGGCCUUUGAGGCUUUAGUGGCGCAGCUAACGC
rnacentral:rRNA from 2 species